ACGAAAAAUUAUACUCAUUACGGACAUGAUUUAUUGUAGGAGGAAGGGAAGUUUAUACUUUCCCGCACCCUUCCUCCUCUACAGUAUGCUCCAAGAGAAAUGAUAAAUGGCGCCGUAGCUGGAGCGGCUUAGGGGUUCUUUUCGAAGAGGCUCAAUGAGGAUGGUUUUCUGUUCCUUACCGACGGCUGCUACAUACGUAUGUAUUUAUAUUCUGGAUCGGUGGAUGAUAGCUGCUGGGCGGAUGAUCAAUAUUGAAAUUCUUGGGAAUGCUUAGGAUAUUGAUGAGUUGAUCUUGCGGAAUAACACUCGGAUUUUUUUUCCCCUCAGCUUAACUCGUCUUAUGUAUUUUCACUCGGUCAACAAAUAAGCGGAAGUAGCUAGAGCUCACUGGAUUCUCUAACAACCAACAACAAUCAACAAAGCAAGUUGAUCAUUCAGCAAUAUCACAAGAUUUACAAAAACCUCUCUUUUUAUUAGUGUUGUCCCUUUUGGUAACCAUCCAUUGAUUGUGAUAGGCCUUACAGAAAGGAUGACAUAAAAUAAUACAAGAAAAGGGAAACCCUUAUCAGAAGUCAAGACAAAAUCGUCGCGUUGAAGAUGAAUUAAAGGAAUAAAAAGCAAAUACAGUCCAAAAAUAGGGCACAGAAGAAGUAUUAGGGAAA
rnacentral:sRNA from 1 species